CACCAAUUAAUCAAAACUUGAUAUCACACUCAAAUGGGUUUCAGCAGAGGUAGUCAUACCAGAAUUUUGUUCACGUUGUUUGCUAUUUUGUUCACUAUAAGCACAUUGCAAGUUGGGGUAGCUAAAAGGCCUUUGCAUGGAGAGCAAUGGCUGAAGAAACAUUUUCUACAUAUAGAGUCCCUCCAGAAAGGUCCAGUGCCACCAUCUGCUAGUUCUCCUUGUACCCACAUUCCUGGGGGAUCCGGCCACUGCCCUACCGUCAAUGGGAUGGACUUUGCUGGCCGCCAUGCCAACCGUUCACCACCUCCACCUGCUCCUCCUUCCUUCUCUAGCUCCAUCCUCAUGGC
rnacentral:misc_RNA from 1 species